AGUCGCGUGGAGGAGGCUUUUCCAGGCACAGCCUUUCUCAUGGCUCAACUCCGAAUGGAUUGGAUUGCGAGUCUGCACGUGAGAAAACCGUUUGGCUUGGCUUGGACCCCUGCCGCCCCCCACCUCCUCCACACACACCCAGUCCAGGGGUCCCCUUUAUCACCCUUUGCUUGCAACUCCAAAAGAAGUUGCCCACCUCCUGAGUCACAACACAAGGUCGAAUAAUUCCUCUAGAUGAAAGAUCAGUUUCAUUUCAAAACGAGAAUAGGUUCCUUUUUUUAUUUUCUCCACAUGGUACAAAAUAAACAGAAUUUGCUUUAAAAAAA
rnacentral:lncRNA from 1 species